GGAGUCACAACCCAAGAGAUAGCAUCAGACUGAUCCGAGAAACCCCAUCUUCUCGGGGCUGCUCCUUGAGCAGCCUGGGGUCGCACAGACCAUGUUCUGUCCUCUGAGAUGUGCUCCCAGGAGGGGCACAUUAGUCAAGACAACAAACAGAGGAGCUAGAAGGCAUGAAGACACGGGGGGGGGGGGGCUGUUGACUCAGAAAACUUGACUGACCCUCUGGCACAUGGCGGGCAGGGGAAAAAAUGAAUGACAUAUGGAGCGUACAUAUAUGACACAAAUAAAUAUUGCAUGCGGCAGGGUAGGAAAGGAUGUUGAAUGGAAAAAGAGAGCAGAGAUUUAGCAUGGUAGACAGUGCUGUCACAGGAAGAAAAAGAUAAAGAAACGAGGAAGCGAGGGGCCUCCAGGAGUCAGUGGAAUAGAGAAGGCUUGUUUCUUGGGUUUGGAGAUAAAGGGACAGCUAGCGGAGGGUAAGGAGAGCCAGGUGAAGGUAUUUAUUUCCAGGUGGCAGAAGUGGGGUAUCCUGUGCUGAUGGGAAUGAUACGGUAGAAAGAAGAGUGCCCAGGCUGCAGGAGAGACCUGCACACUGGAAGUGGGGGGACUGAAAGAAUCAACUUCAAAGUGAACAUGCAGGGACAGUGAGUCACAGGUGUCAGGAGAUGGAAUUGGACAUCUACCAUUGCCUGUGACAUCAGGGUUCUGAAGGAGUUCGCAGGAAGAGUGGUGUAGGUGUGUGCCGGCUCCUCAGAGCACUGAGGCAGCACAGAGAAGGGGUGUGCAGAGGCUACAGGCUCAACGGAAAGCUGCAGGGAGCUUCCUAGAUGCGGGCGGGCGAGUCAGCAGUUACGUAGGGCAGACGGUGAGCUACCACAGAGGCAGAGCCUCGUAGGCGCUGGAAGCUGGAGUUCCCCAUCUGCUCCAAGACUCCUGCCAAAAGCGAACGGUCUGAAUGAAAAGUCUACCUACAGAACCGGGAAGGGGAGUGUCGCUUUUGCGGAUUCCUAGUCUACCAAUGGGGAAUCUGAAACCCUAAGCAAAAAGAGCUGAACUCCAAUAGAGAUUGAGUUGUGUGACCCCUGAUCAAGUGGUCCUACGUGACAGGCUCCAUGGAAUCCUGGGGCAUCCUCACACUAGUGAGAGUUCCUGGCUGGAUUCUCACAGAAGUAUGGCCUGUGCCCAUAAGAUGAAAUGGCUGAGUCGGCCUUGUGCGUGAGGAUAUGGAGUGUUUGACACGGACUACACCACGGACUGCUAUGUGACCCUCGUACCCAUCCGUGAACACUUCAGGCUUUUUACUCUCAAGGAGGAGUGGUGCUGGGGUGCACAUAUUGGCUUCUGCUGUGGUGGGAGGUACAGUGGUUCUUCAGCUCACAGACAAUCCUUCAAAUGGGAGGAUAGAAUAGAGUCUUGCUGACAGAAAGACUCAGGAAUCGACCACUCAGGCCCUUUCACUCAGAAUGCUUGACCGUGCUCCUCAGCACAGUGACAGAAUAAGCCUAGGAAGAGACAACUUCCAGGCAAGAGGGAGCCUCCUCCGGACCCAGGAUGGCCACAGGCAGUUCAGAUGCCUCUCCUGGACAGCAAAGAAGGAACUGAAGCACCAAGAGUAGGAGCCACUCUUCCUCCUGGGCUGUUGUUCCCCGGCUCUGAGCUCCACACAGCAACUGACCUGAGCACUCAGCUUUCCCGUUCUCAGCUUGCUCCGAUCUGUUCUUAAAUAUUAACUUUCACACCGUCUCACUGGGGACUGCGUCUGAAACAAGUCCUCUUUGUUCUGUGUUUGCAGCUCACCAGAAAGUGCCAUGCAGACACUUACCAGCUUGCCUUCUGCUUGAUCAGACUUCGAGAAACAAUUUCACUAGAUUUUCUAAUGGGCUUGCCUGCUAUUGAUCCCUCAACCCCACAAACACACCACUUAAAUGAUUCUGAACACAACGGCACUAAAAUGCUCUAAAAUAGAACUGUGGAGAAGGAGGCUCUUAGCCUCUGGCUGCCCCAGCAGGUCUUGAGCGAGCACUCUCCGGUCUUCUGAACUGCGCUUGGUCUGACACUGAACUGACAGAGAAGCACACAGACUUGCAAUCCCCACAUCCCCACCUCCUCAUUGCUGUGAGCCACCGAGGACAGAGCAGCUUGAGGCUGUUUUGGGGUAAGAAUUGUUCCUAAUAUUCUGUCUUGUUCAGUCUUUCAGUCUCAGGAUAAGGAGAUACAAAGUUGUUUAACUGUAUUGAUAACUUCUGGUUUACUACCAUGACAACUCAACUUCUGCGUCCAGGAGGAAGGAAGGCGAAGCUGCUUCCUGGCUUCCUCCCCAUAGCUUGCUCAGCCUGUUCUCUUACUUCACACAGGGCCAGCUGCCCAGGAUGGGUUCUGUCCGUAUCCAUCAUUAAAAGAUGGCUCAGUGGUUAAGAGCACUGGAUGCUCCUCCAGAAGACCUCGGCGUAAUUCCUAGCACCCACAUGGCUGCUCACAACUGUCAACACUCAAGUUCCAGUGGCUCUGACUUUUCACAGACAUACUUGUAAGCAAAACACCAAUCACAUAAAAAUAAAAGGAAGGAAGGGAAGAAGGAAGGAAGGAAAGAAGGAAGGAAGAAAAGAAGGAAGGAAGGAAGGAAGGAAGGAAGGAAGGAAGGAAGGAAGGAAAAGAAAAAAGAAAAAGCCCACAGGCAAUUUGAUGGAAGCAGUCCGUCAGUUGAAGUCCCCCCCCCCUUCCCAGGUGGCCCUAGCUUGUGCUGAAUUGACAAGAAGCAACAAGACAAACAACUAACCCACAUAGGUGGGCACAAUUGGUCAUUUUCUGGAGAUAGGAAGGUAGAAAUUUUCAUGCAUUUAUUGUCUCCCCUGCUUUGCACAGCUCAGUCGCUCUGUUUUAUCUCUGCAUGUCCAGAGUAUAACACAGUACACGGUGCUGCGUUUACAAGUAUCUGGUAAACAUGAACUGGCUCCAAUUCAAAACGCUGCCAAAUGGCUGAGCUAGCAUUUCAAUUUGGGUCACUAUGCCUCUGGAGGCAUAGCUCAGGAAGGCUGUAGCAUUUUGCCUCCUUUUACACCCUUUUAUUGGGGGAGGAGAGUGGGGGUGGUGUGGGGAGGAGUCAGGAAUGGAGUUUUCUCUGCUCCAAGGUAUACUGCUGAAACGCAUCUUAAGGUGCUCUGCAACAACUAGUGACAAAUAUGAGCAUGGAACAUGAAGCUGAGAGGUGAGUCGGCUACAAGGUCUUAGGAUUCUGCUUCCGGCUACUGUCUCUUGGUGUGUCCACGUUUGUGUGCUCAUGCUCAGAAGUCAUUGUCUACAAAAGCAGUAAAUGAGCAGUAUUUUUUUUUACUGGGCAAAAUGCACACAAAGGGAAUUCAUUUCUUUAGUUCUAACGAAAAUGGAAAAUGAGCCAGCAAGGUUAUUUCUUCACCUCCGAGGAACCAGACAGGGCUGCACACCCCAAUGGGCUAUGGACUAUUCCGAACACUUCCUUUGCCAAAUGAGUCACAGAUUUUUGAGCAAGUAGAUUAGUCUAGAAUUUAUAGGGAUGCCAUUGCAGAUUAAAACAAAACUGUCUUAGUUGGGAUUUCCACUGCAGUGAUAAAACAUCACGGCCGACGGGCUAGCUGGGGAGCAGAGGGAUUUUCUUCACUGUGCAGCUCUCAGAUCACACUCCGCCACUUCAGCGGCUACUCGGUUCGCUGUGACUCAGUUUCUCCCGUCUCACAAGACAGAGAGUAUUACUCAUCUCCUCGGACUGGGAAGUGAAUGAACACAUGGGGAUAGUAGAGAACAGCCCCUCACUUACAUGGCUAGCUUACCCUGUUGACUAUCCUACAUGAAACCACUGAUGUGUUUCUCUUCUGCUCCUAGUCUGCAAAUAUAGGAGUGCCCUCAUCUACUGAAGAAGAUUAAGUAAGAAAUUAUAGUAAUAAGCACCUGUAGUCUUUAGAUAAUUUUUGGCAUUCUGUAUUGUCAUAAUUAUCCUUCUUUAACAUGUUGUUAUUGAGCUCUUACCAUGGCUGAUAAAUAAAUCAUAUUUAUCACAGGCAUUUAUUCAUAGAUUAAAAACAGUAUUAUAGGAUGGGCAUCAGCCAUGGCUGAGCGUGGAGAACACAAAGUUUCUGAAGGUACUGAGUUCGGCUGUGGUGCCGGAGGCCAUGGGGCCAAGGGUGAGCGUAUUUGAGAAUGCCAAUUACAUUACAGAUAAACCACAAUAUUGAAAGGAAGUUCUAGCUUCGUGAAAAUAUGUAAUCUGUUCUUGUAUCUUAACUAUAAGUAGUUAUCCAGUACAGAUCUAUUUGGUGCGUAAAUAACAGCAAGGAUACAGUCUGAGAAAAAAGGCUUUUGGAUUAAUAAUGUCCCUUCCUGCAGACAGACUCUACUGGGAUGUCCAUGUCUGCCCCACACCAUAGGAAAACACAGUCUCCCUGCACAAAUAUUGGCCUUUGAGUUAUUAGAGAGUUUUCCUCUUCUUAAGUGACAGGCCAUCCUCAUUAGUGACCCAGAGGUCAGGCCAGACUGAAGUCAUUAUCAAGUGUGUAGAUGGCACUAAUGGCAGGGCACCCACAGAUACUCUCAAGCACAGAGUCUCGAAAUAAAGUGACAGGGACUAUAAGGGGGCACAGGCUCCUCCAACAGGAGGUGACACUGGAAGUGACUUGUGUCCCCUUCACUGCUUCCUGACACGUCAGCUGCGAUGUGCCCUGAAACAAUGACAACCAGGAGAUCUCACACAAUGACAGUCGGGAUAAACAGCCAGGAUGCUUUCUUUAUCAUCCACUCGUUCCUACGUGCAGAUCUGCUCCUUUAUCGCGGCGGCCUGAUUGUGACCUGCUAGCAUUUCCAGGCUGAAACCUAAUCAUUGCUGCAACAGUGUUCGCAGGCCUGGACCGCAGAAGGCCAGCAGCCUAGGAAGGAAGAUCCCUAUGAGCAUCCUGGGAAAGGGUUGAGGAGAACCGAGUUCUUUCUCUACACAUGGUGAGGACCCAGCAACACUGUCCAUCCGUGAACCAGGAAGUGGGCCCUCAACAGAUACCGAUCUCUGGCCUUGUGCAUUUUGUCUCACUGAAUUUUGAGAAAUAAACUCCGGCCAGCUGUUGGAGUCACUCAGAUUAUGGUCUUCGGUUAUAGCAGCCCAGAUGAACUGUCACUGCACUGAACAGAAACCUUUGAGAACACCUUGGAAUCACAAAGAUGAAUGUUUCACCUGAGGGCGCAUUUGGGAACACAUUGCUAGAAACUGCUUCCAGGUUUGUGGGAGUAAAUAUUCGGAGGGACUAGGUCAGGAUGAAGCCACGGACACAUGUUAACAAGGUGAAGCUCGCUGGGGGAGCUCAGGGGCCCCGUCCAGCGGAUCUUCAGCACUAUCGCUAUCCUGCACCACGUGGAAGCUACGCCACCUCCCGGGGGAUGAAUGCAGUGUUACUGAUUCUCAUCUACGGAGUUAAAGAAGCGGGUAGUGAAAGUGUGCAAACUCACAUUAAAGAUAAAUAAUAACGUGCUGAAUGAAACCUGAAUAGCUAAGGAAUGAAGCUCACAGCUACAUGCUGCCCCCGGGAGGAAGCUGGCUCGAAGCUCAGAACGGCACGUGAGAGCUGGGGCUGGCACUGCACAUAUUAUAAAAGCAUCUAGAAGAUCGCUUUCUGUUUGCAAGAAGGGACACCCAGACUGGUAAAUAAUCUAUAAAGUAAAAUUAGGCUUAUUAAGAUGAACACAUUCAAAUUAUUCAAAAGCAGUAUUUUCCUAACAAGAAGUUUAAGGGUUGUUAUAAUUAGGUAGCAAUGUCCCACCAAUCAGUUUAUGGAAGUGUAAAUGACGUCACACUGAGGACACUAAAAUUCUAAGCAGAGCCUGAGGUAGCCCCAUGCCGGGCUGCUGCGCUGUGGACUCUGUUCUCCCUGAUGGUCCCUUGUGCUGCAUUUUUUUGUUUCCCGUUCUGUAUCUCUUCUAUAAAAACUGGGCGCAACUAAAACUGCUGCUUUAAUAAUCUAAAUGAUUUGUAUAUUAAUACGUGUACUGUGUUAUUUACUUUCCUACUGCUGUGAUAAACGCCACGGGCAAAUUUCAGGAAGAGGCAGUUCAUUUUGGCUUAUGGUUCCAGAGCGCUGAGUCUCAGGAGACUUAGCAGCAAGCAGCAGGCACGGCAGCAGGAAGCUGAGCGCUCACACGCCAAAUACAGGCUUGCAGCACACGGCGAACUGGAUGGAGAGUAAGACCACAUACUCUCAGAGCCCACUCCAGUGACAUACUUUCCCCAAGAAGGCCACCCCUCCUAAAUCUCUCCAAAGAGUGCCACCAACUGGGAACCAAGUGUUCCCAUGUCUGAGUCUAUGGGGACAUUCUUAUCCCAACCACUACGUCAUCAUUCUGUGGAAAUUUUUCUCAAAGAAUGAAAAAAGAAAAUAUAGAAAAUAGUUCUCCCAAUAAAUAUGAUUUUCUAUUCCGUUAAUCUGCAUCUGAAGGAAAAAGGAAACAUAAUAUUUGGAAAACAAUGAAGUUGAAUCACGUUUUGAAAUUUUCAGAGUAAGAAGCAAAUUUACCCAAGUUUUCAAAUCUCAAGGAGAAAACUUGUUUUUAAUAUUAUAUCCCACAGUGUGAAUAUAGAUAACGUGUUAUAGAUUUCAAAAUUACUAACAAUAAGUUUCAAAUGUUCUAGUCAAACACACACACACAAAAGUUAGGUAUU